UCUUCGUAUUCGUCGAGUUCUUCGCCAUCGUAUUCAUCCUCGCUUCCCACUUCGCUCCCAGAUAACUCAGCCUCGUUUUCCAUGAAGUCCUGCAAUAUGCUGAAUGGUUCAAGGGGGAGAUGGGAAGAGGAAAACAAGUAGAAAUUAUGGGAACUGAGUGCCUCAAGAUCUUCUGGAUUCACGUGAAGAUUCUUUGUCGCCGACCUCUGGUUCUUUUCCAAGUUAAAUCGACUCUUCAUCUUGAGAAAGGGGAUCCCCACCUUCUUCCUCCUCCUCCUCCAAGCCGUUCUCGAAGAGGUCUUUGUCAGUCAAAAGGCACCCGCUGUCAUUGAACGAAAGCUCCGUGCCGUCCUCCUGGCAUCAGAGAAACAUAACUCAAGGCUCUAUAAACUGUUUUCCCCCAUUCAAUGUAUCAGCUGUGAGAUGUUCCCCAAGCAAGAGAUAUUUCAUCACCCAACCCCAUCUACAGUCUGAAGAAACACAUCGAAGACUAAUGCUAUAUAUGGCCACAGCAGCGAGAAUCAUCUCUUUUCGAAGAUGGAGAGAACCAACUCCCACGACACAGGAUUGGCUCAUAAAAAUGUAUGAACUAGCAGAAAUGGACAAAACUUACAAUGUUGAUGAAGGAGAAAAGCCCUAAUCAAUUUCAAGAAAGACUGAGGCCUAUUUAUUAUGUUUCUUCAGCAAAGAUGGUUUUUUGAAUUAGAAGAGUGCCAUCUCAUGGGGAAAGGGGGUUCAUUAUGUUCGCUGUGCCUGAUUAUUAGUUAUUGCUUGAGUUUUAAUGUAUUAUAUGUUUCAUGAUUUUGUUUAUAUAUUUUAAAUAAGCGCCCACUGUUAGCCCCAGCUCCUGCCAACCUAGCAGUUCGAAAACAUGCCAAUGUGAGUAGAUCAAUAGGUACCACUCCAGCGGGAAGGUAACAGCGCUCCAUGCAGUCAUGCCGGCCACAUGACCUUGGAGGUGUCUACGGACAACGCUGGCUCUUUGGCUUAGAAAUGGAGAUGAGCACCAACCCCCAGAGUCGGUCACGACUGGACUUAACGUCAGGGGAAACCUUUACCUUUACUAUUUUAUUAUGUAUCGUCCAUGUGAGCCACCCAGAGUCCCUUCAGGGAGAUGGGGUGGGAUAUAAGAAUAAAGUUGUUAUUAUUGUUGUUGCUAUUAUUAUUAUUAUUUAUAGGGUGCGUUCAUGGUUUUUCUUUCAGUGGGCAAAGGAUUUUAACUCUUCCCUUUUAAAUACCAUUAAUAUCUCAUUCUAUUUGAAUGUUUGUAUAUUUUUAGGUUUUAAACUGCAUUGCAUUUGGUUUUACUUUAAGCCGCUUUAAGUCUCUUUUGUAGAGAGAGAAAGGAGGGUAUAAAUAAAAAUAAUAGUAAUGUGGAAAACUGAGAAUAAAACCAUCAGGCACAGGAUGGAAAGCCCUUACACUAGGUACUUUACAUUUGUAGUCAAUGUUUAGUGGUUCUAGUAGUGGCAUGUUUUUUUUUAUAUUAGGAAAUGUGUUUCAAUUGUUUUAGUCUUUGUAUUUUGGUUUGCAUUAUUGCUUUUUAUAUCUAGUUAUAGAUUUUGUGUCAGUUUUUUAAAAAAAUAAAAAUUAUUAAUUAAAAACUGA